GGGGGGGGCGGCCUACCAUGCAAGUCGAACGGUAGCACAGAGAGCUUGCUCUCGGGUGACGAGUGGCGGACGGGUGAGUAAUGUCUGGGAAACUGCCUGAUGGAGGGGGAUAACUACUGGAAACGGUAGCUAAUACCGCAUAACGUCGCAAGACCAAAGAGGGGGACCUUCGGGCCUCUUGCCAUCAGAUGUGCCCAGAUGGGAUUAGCUAGUAGGUGGGGUAACGGCUCACCUAGGCGACGAUCCCUAGCUGGUCUGAGAGGAUGACCAGCCACACUGGAACUGAGACACGGUCCAGACUCCUACGGGAGGCAGCAGUGGGGAAUAUUGCACAAUGGGCGCAAGCCUGAUGCAGCCAUGCCGCGUGUAUGAAGAAGGCCUUCGGGUUGUAAAGUACUUUCAGCGGGGAGGAAGGUGUUGUGGUUAAUAACCACAGCAAUUGACGUUACCCGCAGAAGAAGCACCGGCUAACUCCGUGCCAGCAGCCGCGGUAAUACGGAGGGUGCAAGCGUUAAUCGGAAUUACUGGGCGUAAAGCGCACGCAGGCGGUCUGUCAAGUCGGAUGUGAAAUCCCCGGGCUCAACCUGGGA
rnacentral:rRNA from 1 species